GCUAGCCGACGAGCUAGCGCUAUACAUAAAGAGCACCGCCGGUGGCGCCCGAGUGGUAGCUAGUAGCGGGGUGAGGUUGCCGCGCGCGCCGGCAGUGAAUUACGGGGCAGUUCUUCUUUGGCACAAAGCUAGCUAAGCACGCGGUUCAGAUAACUUGCGCAUGCGUACGUGCCAAAGGAGAAUUGCCCUGCGAUUCGCCUGCGCAGGAUCCGUUUUGAUGUUGUGUUCCUUGACUGCUACUGGCUACAAGCCUGAGACAGAGAGAGAUCUCAUCUGAGUGGAAGUUGAAGAACAUGCAUGUGGAGAAUCGCCCCGAGAUUCAGCUUCAAUUCAGAUGCGUUCCCCAACUCCUGAUGUCAAAGUUGGGAGUUUUGGAGCAACUAAACAUAGCCUAGGCUAGGCUCGCCGAUGGCAAUGGAAACACGGCAAACGCGAGAAGAAGUUGGUGUCGAGAGGGAGUCAGCGGCAGCUCACACACGGCAACGAAAGACAGCGCAUGCAAUUCUCUUUCCGAAAUGAAGCUGUGCCUGUAGCUCUGUCGGGAUGCAAGCUGGUAAUAUGCUUGGAGAGUUUCAAGAGAACUUGCGUGUGACGCGAAAUUGGCGAGACAAAUGGUUUUUUUUUUGGCCCCCGCUGUCACGAAGAAUUCAAUGUUAUCCGUUUGGGCAUCACGACAGUGACUUAGCUAGGCAAUGUUUGUUUGUUUGAUUGAGACAAGGUUUUAUUUUUAUUUUUCUCUGUUUUUGUAUGUGUGUGCUGAUUGCUGAAUGUACCCAAUCUCGCAUAGAAAAGAGGAUGCUUCAACCGAACCAGGGAAAAAAAAGAUCUGUGUGUCCUUCUCAAUGCCCUCACCACCACCAAAUCAACUCUGUGCAAUUGCAAAUGGCUCGAAUUUUUCUA